AUGAUUCUUCUGAGCUGGGUGCCGACAGACGGCUGGUCCUCAGGGUUUUUGUGUGGAUGUGUCUGGCAGAUGUUGUGCUCUUCUGGGGCCGCCGGGUUCUUCCUCCCUCCCGGAUCGUCUGCUGUGACCCGUGACACUCCUCCUAGACCACUGUCACGCGGCCUAAGGAGACAGGCUUGCACUAUGAAUGAGGGAAUAUCCUGCACAGAUAGGGCCUGCUUGGGAAAACCGAGCAAGCGAUGCAGUUCAGGUGGGAAGGAAGGGAGGUCCGUUUUGGGAAGGCCUUGGCAGAUCCUCCCGAUCGGAUGGAGCGUAUUCGGUUCACGUGCGGCGACUGAAUGCCUUCCAAUGUUUGCAGACACUGAUGGAUGAGAACAUAACGACGUGCCGACGGACAGACCACAUCUCUGAGAAAAAACUGUGAAUAUGGCAAUUCAUCUUGAAACUGGAAGGCCUGGAAGUGGUUGGAGCUGCAGUGUUGGGCGUCUGAAACGCACAAAUGUUUGGUUUCUGUUUACAUUUGAGUUUUUCUGCGUUUCUGCUCACUGCCGUUUCAUCUGUGAGAGCAGUUUUCUGUUUUAUUUAAGAGCUUAUAAGAUUACAGUUCCGCUCGGUUUCUGCUUUUUCUCAAAGGAUAUUGCGACGGGCAACAGUGAUGAUGGUUUUAUGACCGAAUUUAGUGAGGUUUAUGCAUGAAGCAUGACAGGUUGUAAGAUACUGUACAUUCUGUAAAAACAAGAUUUAAUAUUAAAUGCAAUUUGCUUUCUCGGGUAAAUGUAGGCCUGUCAUGUGGUGAAUAAGAACAAAAUACAGUAUGCUUAUAUGUUUUAAAAAAUAUUUGUAUUUUAGUUGUAGCUGGUUGGUUAAACAGUUACAUUUAAAGAGCCACUGAUAAAAAAAACAAAACAAAAAAAAACACUAUAAUUUAAAUGUAUAUUUACAGUUCAAAAGAUUUUUGUUGAAAAAUUUCUCACCAAAGCUGCAUUUAUUUUUACAAAAAUACAGUAAAAAUGUUUAAAAAUAUUAUUACAGUUUAAAAUAGCUGUUUUCUAUGUGUAUAACUGUUAAAAUAUAAUUUAUUGCUGUGAUACAAUCUGAAUUUUCAGCAUCAUUACUCCAGUCUUCAGAAAUCACGAUCCUUUAGAAAUCAUUCUAAUAUGCUGAAUUGCUGCAUUUCUGAUUAUUAUCAAUGUUGGAUAUAGUUCAUAUUUUGUAGAAACCAUGACACAUUUUAUUUUUCGGGAUUCUUUGAUGAAUACAAAGUUCAAAAGAACAGUGUUUAUUGAAAAGAGAAAUAUUUUGUAACGUUAUGAAUGUCUUUACUGUCACUAUUGAUCAAUUUAAUGUAUGCUUUAUGGAGUAUUACCUUCUU
ensembl:lncRNA